UACGCUCAGCCCGGGGAGGGGAGGUUCG
rnacentral:sRNA from 1 species